GCCGCUGUGGUGGAAUGGCAGACACCGUGGACUUAAAAUCCACUGCCCAUUGCGGGCGUGCCGGUUCGAGUCCGGUCAGCGGUACCA
rnacentral:tRNA from 1 species